rnacentral:rRNA from 1 species
CCUACGGGGGGCAGCAGUGAGGAAUAUUGGUCAAUGGACGAGAGUCUGAACCAGCCAAGUAGCGUGAAGGAUGACUGCCCUAUGGGUUGUAAACUUCUUUUAUAUGGGAAUAAAACGUUCCACGUGUGGGAUUUUGUAUGUACCAUAUGACUAAGGAUCGGCUAACUCCGUGCCAGCAGCCGCGGUAAUACGGAGGAUCCGAGCGUUAUCCGGAUUUAUUGGGUUUAAAGGGAGCGUAGGUGGAUUGUUAAGUCAGUUGUGAAAGUUUGCGGCUCAACCGUAAAAGUGCAGUUGAAACUGGCAGUCUUGAGUACAGUAGAGGUGGGCGGAAUUCGUGGUGUAGCGGUGAAAUGCUUAGAUAUCACGAAGAACUCCGAUUGCGAAGGCAGUUCACUGGACUGAAACUGACACUGAGGCUCGAAAGUGUGGGUAUCAAACAGGAUUAGAUACCCCAGUAGUC